AACGAACGCUGGCGGCAUGCCUAACACAUGCAAGUCGAACGAGACCUUCGGGUCUAGUGGCGCACAGGUGCGUAACGCGUGGGAACCUUCCCUUAGGCUCGGAAUAACUCCCCGACAGGGGUGCUAAUGCCGGAUAAUGUCUUCGGAUCAAAGAUUCAUCGUCCUUGGAUGGGCCCGCGUUGGUCUAGCCAGUUGGUAGGGUAAAAGCCUAUCAAGGAGACGAUCCAUAGCUGGUUUGAGAGGAUGAUCAGCCACACUGGGACUGAGACACGGCCCAGACUCCUACGGGAGGCAGCAGUGGGUAAUAUUGCACUAUGGGCGAAAUCCUGAUCCAGCAAUGCCUCGUGAGUGAUGAAGUCCUUAGGGUUGUAAAGCUCUUUUACCCGGGAUGAUAAUGACAGUACCGGGAGAAUAAGCUCCGGCUAACUCCGUG
rnacentral:rRNA from 1 species